rnacentral:rRNA from 1 species
GAUGGGGAGCGAAAUUUAGUAGCGAAGUAGCUGAUUUCACACUGUCAAGAAAAGUCUCUAUCGAGGUUAAAGGUACCCGUACCGCAAACCGACACAGGUGGGUGAGGAGAGUAUCCUAAGGCCAGCGAGAGAACUGUUGUUAAGGAACUCGGCAAAAUGCCCCCGUAACUUAGGGAUAAGGGGUGCCACCAUCAGGUGGCCGCAGAGAAUAGGCCCAAGCGACUGUUUACCAAAAACAUAGGUUUCUGCUAAGUCGCAAGACGAUGUAUAGGAGCUGACGCCUGCCCGGUGCUGGAAGGUUAAGG